rnacentral:rRNA from 1 species
UACGAAGGGGGCUAGCGUUGUUCGGAAUUACUGGGCGUAAAGCGCACGUAGGCGGAUACUUAAGUCAGGGGGUGAAAAUCCCCGGGGGCUCAACCCCCGGAAACUGCCUUUUGAUACUGGGGUAUCUCGAGUCCGGAAGAGGUGAGUGGAAUUCCGAGUGUAGAGGGUGAAAAUUCGUAGAUAUUCGGAGGAACACCAGUGGCGAAGGCGGCUCACUGGUCCGGUACUGACGCUGAGGUGCGAAAAGCGUGGGGGAGCAAACAGGG